UACGGAGGGUGCAAGCGUUAAUCGGAAUUACUGGGCGUAAAGCGCACGCAGGUGGCUGAGUCAGUCGAUUGUGAAAGCCCUGGGCUUAACCUGGGAAUUGCAGUCGAUACUACUCAGCUAGAGUAUGGGAGAGGGUAGUGGAAUUCCCGGUGUAGCGGUGAAAUGCGUAGAGAUCCGGAAGAACACCGGUGGCGAAGGCGGCCCGCUGGGCCAUGGCUGACACUGAGGCGCGACAGCGUGGGGAGCAAACAGG
rnacentral:rRNA from 1 species